AGAGGAAAUAGUGUUGUCACUGUUGAAGCACUAGAGCCUGUAAACAGAGCAAUGUGAUUAUGUUUAUGUGGUAGUACUGAUCCAUUUAGUUUAAACUCUUGUAUUUUGGAUAAUAUGUCUAUUUGUGGGAUGCAAACCAUUCUGUACUUUGUAGAUGCAAGGUAAUGUGGGUCUUCUGAAUUUCGGUAAUUCUUGCAUUAGAUUUAAUUUCUAGCAAGCUUAGGCUGCUGUUGGUUCUCUUGCAAUGACAAUUGUAUGCCUUCUGGAAUUAAUUUCUAAAUACUUCGUACAUAAGUUGCACAUUUUUUAUCAUUUGGAGCUUGAGUUAUGGCUGGGGCCAUCGGGCUAGUACUAGGGCUCCGAACUGAACUUCGGC
rnacentral:misc_RNA from 1 species